rnacentral:rRNA from 1 species
CCAGGUCAGGCGGGGCUACCCGCUGAGU